UAGCCAUACAUUACAGGAGCUGUGAGAGAAGUUGAGGAGGAAACUGGGAUCGACACAGAGUUCAUUGAAGUCAUAGCAUUCAGGCAUGUUCACAAUGUGGCUUUUGAAAAAUCAGAUUUAUUCUUCAUUUGUAUGCUUAGGCCCUUAUCAACUCAGAUAGUAGUUGAUGAUCUUGAAAUUCAAGCA